AGGUCCCAGUAUUCAAGGAGGAGCCGACCUUUGCCCUCGAAUACGAAAAUCUUCAAGCAGUUCCAACGAAAUCAUAGUGCCAAAGGGUACGACCCAAGGGAUUCGAAUUCAGGUGGAAAAUAUUCCGGCCUUUAUGAUACAGUCAAGAUUUGUUUGCCAGUUUCUUAUCGAAGGAAAAGUAAAGCAAGUCAACGGCCAGCUCCUGGGAGACAGCCUAUACUGUGGAAGAAUUCCCUUCAAAUACGACUCGGAUGACGCAAACACGACGACAAAAUUCGCAGUCAUUUGGGAGGCGAAAAAUAUCCUGGACAAUCCUGAUAACA